UUCACUAAAAUGCCACGAAUCCAAUAUGUUCCACAAGAGACAGUCGGAAGGGAGAUUCCUUGUAUGUUGUAUUUGAGGUGGAAUCCACGUCGAUUAGGAUGAAAUAUAAAUUCAAAAGUUCCUUUCUUGUAAGAAUGGUAGGACGGAUGACAUGAUCCUAAAAGUCUUCACGAAAAAAACACAUCAAAAGUUCCUUUCUUGUAAGCGUGGUCGGACAGUUGACAUGAUCCUAAAAGUUUCCAUGGAAAAAAAUCGCACUCUACACUAGUGGUUUACUUACAAUCUCACAUUCAAAUGUGCAUGCCAAUUAGGAAAACCACCAUAUGAGUAUGACCUAUCUCAUCCCUGUCUGUUUUGUUGCACAGGAUGAGCUUGCAAGGAUGCCAAGGCACUUUUCCUCAACCUCACUCCAAGCAGUCGCUUUUGAUCUUAAUCAAUCAAUCCUCAAUCCUGUUCUUGAUUUUGUCUGUGUCUUUUUCUUUUUCUCCCUCUUCUCUGGUGCUGGGAAUGGGUUAUAUUUCAUCUGGUAAGAAUCAUGUUAAGUCAGAUUUCAUGUGAUAAACACAACAUGAAACUUAGGACUUGGGCACAACCAAACUUGGUGGUAUAGUUUCAUAAAAAUGAAUACCCAAUUAGGACAGCAAAGCGUGGUCCAAUUCUUCACAUUCACUUCAUACCACUAAUCAAUUUUACCUAUCUCUUGGCCUCCCAACUCUUAUGCCUAGUCGAACCCCAAGAAGCACCAUUGCAGAAAGUUCACCAAACUAGCAUCAUGCAGAGAAAGAGUGAUGAUGAAUUAUACAUCAUCACCCGAUUCACUGCAACAUAGAUAUUUCGGUCACCAGCAUAACAGUUUGAACCAUGUUAAGCUGGAAAGUGAUGAAGAAUAUGUGAAGGGAAAAAAGAGAAAGUUUAAGGGACGAUUCGAGGCACAGAAGCUGCCCUCCGGUUAGGGUUUCGGUACCGGACAUCUUGUUUUAGCUACAUGUUAAGGAAAGCAAGAGCAUUUUACAACGACUUCGCUGUGAUGCAUUAUUUGAUGGUGGUGAUAGUAAAAGGGCACUGGGAUAUGAUGAAGUCAUGUUGGUGGAUCCUUAUUUUGUCAAUCCCAGUUACUCCUUUCACCUCCUUGGAAAAAUGGGGUGUGUGUGUGUGUGUGUUUUUUUCCCCUUUUCUAUAUCUACUGGAGUUUUACGUACUAAUUCUGUAAUUAAUAAUUAGUGAAGACAGUUAUAAUGUU